UAGCGUAAUAUCUAAAACAAUACCGAACCAGCCAAGCCACAAAUGUAUUCAAAGUUCAAAAGAAAUCAUGAGAAAAAAUAUUCCAAAACAAAAAAAAUCAAAAAAACCAAAUAAAAAAAUAAAAAAAAAUAUGAUAAUAAAAAAUAAAUAAAUAAAUAAUCGAGCGCACGUGUAAAAAUUUUGAGUAAUAAAAUUUAAUUUAAUUUAAAUAUCAAAUAACAACAACAACAACAACAAACAAGAUGUGUUAAAAUUCGUAAAGUAAUCAAAAAAAUAUCGUAAGAAAUGCAAGAAGCAAUAAAGAAAGGCACACACGCACACAGUUACAUAUGCACACAUGCAACACGAAUGCGGGGGGUAAGCAUGUGUGGUGUGUGUGCAAGAAAGAAGUAAGGAUACUGUGGCCAAGAGAAGAGCAGUAGGAAACAGAAACAGGAAGCAAUACACCGCAACAGCGGGCUAAUAAUGCGACCAGCGUUGUGUCUUCAAGAACUGCAUUAACACAGUGUAUACUGGUUGGGCGAGGGGCAACAGCAACACACCGCAUGCAGAUGAUGAUGAAAUACCGCUUGAGACCACAUGUACAUACCUAUACUUAUAUAUGUAUAUACAAACGCACUCUUAAUGGCAAUCGAAUGCGCAAUUAUAACAACAACAAAUAGUUUACAGAAAAAAAAAUAAAUGAAAACUAUCAAUCGAAUGUUGCAGUGAAAGAACAGUGACUUCAAACGCUGAAAAAUGAAGAAUGAGUCGUACAAACAAUACAAACAAAAUAUGCAACAAAUUAAAUAAACACACACAUACACACAUACAUAUGUAUAUAUGCACUGUACUGCCUUAUAGGGUUGCAGAGAAAAGUAAUUUACAGUGGAAAUGACACGUUUGUGUUUUAUCCCUUGCUUUAAAUUAUAUUUACAAAUGUGACUAAUGCAGCAGUUUAAAUAAAUAUUGGACGCGGAAGGAAAUAACAAGAUGUUGGUUCAGAAUAUCUGUUUAAAUGAAAUAUUUAAAUAUGAAAAUGAAAUAUGAAAUAGAAAUAUUUUUUUGAUGUGGAAAUUUAUUGAAAAAAAAAUUAUUAAAACAAUUA